CUGGAGACAGGUGCUGCAUGGCUGUCGUCAGCUCGUGUCGUGAGAUGUUGGGUUAAGUCCCGCAACGAGCGCAACCCUUGCCUUAGUUGCCAGCAGUUCGGCUGGGCACUCUAAAGGGACUGCCGGUGUUAAACCGGAGGAAGGUGGGGAUGACGUCAAGUCCUCAUGGCCUUUAUGACCAGGGCUACACACGUACUACAAUGGCCGAUACAAAGGGCAGCGACACUGCGAGGUGAAGCCAAUCCCGUAAAAUCGGUCUCAGUCCGGAUUGGAGUCUGCAACUCGACUCCAUGAAGUUGGAAUCGCUAGUAAUCGUGGAUCAGCAUGCCACAGUGAAUACGUUCCCGGGCCUU
rnacentral:rRNA from 1 species